rnacentral:sRNA from 1 species
GGUCGCCGACUCGUUACAGGAGAAAUGACACAAUACAUAUAUGGCACAUAGGUUGCAAAGAAUAAUACACAUAAAUCUUCUCCAUAUCUCUUUUUCGGUCAAGCCGGGAACUGCGGGCGUGUCGUGCAUGGGUCAUGUUCAUCACAUCAUUAGAUUUUUAUUAUCUGUUCACGGGAGGAUUAAUCUUGUUCUGAACACCCAACAUGCCACAAAACGCCUCUGUCUGCGGGUUUGUAUACCACGCAGCUACAAGCUCUCUCACUCACUGUCAUUUCCACCCGGAUGUCCUUCAGGUGGUGCAGUCCACCAAAACCUUUGCACUCUUCCGACAUCCACUUUGCCCUUUUCCCAUACUAAUCCUUCUUGUCCCUCGACCGCACCAUCUUGUGGAACGGUGGGAACGAGCAAUCCUUCCUCCUUGAUCCUUGCUACUUCAUCCUUCACCAUCUGCUCAAGUAUGUCAGAGGAUGGGAGGGGGAUGGGCUGAUAUGAGGUUGAGAGGUAUGGAUGGAAAGCACGGGAUAUGGCUAGCCAUUCGGGAUCGUAAGUUAAUCUUGGAGGCCCUGGGAUUGGGGGUGGGGAAGGGUCUGGGAUCUCAAGGAACUAUUUCAAACCAAUCAUUAGUUUAAAGAUAUAAUCGACCGAAAAACGGUUGAUGACAUACCUGCAUAUGGUCUUUACCAGGCCCACACUUGUCCAAUGCCAAAAACUUGGUCACACCCUCCAUCCCUUUCCCCCCGUGCAGUUCCCAUUUCUGCUGCUCUUGUCGCGCUUCUUGCAUUACACGUGAUGCAAUAGAGUCAGAAGUGGGAGGGGCUAUGGUGCCAGCAACAGGUGGAUGGGAUGGGUUAGAACGUGAUUGCGCGAUGAGGUCGGUCGAUUCAUCAAUUGUGGUGAGGGAUUGCGCCAAAGGAGCAGGGUCAUCGAAUUCGUCGUCCGAGAUGGCUAUUUCUUCAGGGUUGGAGGCGUUCGUUUUGGUAGGUGGGAGAGGUUGAAGGGGUUGAGAGACUGUGGUUGGUGCAUCGAACUCUUGGUCCGAUAUGAUUAUUUCUUCUGGAUUGAAGGCGCUAUUGGUCGUCGCUGGUAAUGGCUGAGGGACCGCGGGCGCAGGGUCGUCAAACUCAUCGUCAUCCAUCGCAAUCUCAUCCGGGUUGACCUGUCUCGGUCUAAUGAUAACCUCUUCACCCUCAUCCUCAACAAUAAUCUCAUCGGGGUUCCCCGCAUCCAUCUCUUCAUCGAUUUGAAUCUCAUCUGGGUUACCACCAGCCUGAGCUAUUACGGCCGACGUUGCCAGUAAUGGUAAGGGGGCGCCACCGUCGACAUCCGGACCAUGAUUAGGGGCUUGAUGCUCGUACAGAGCUGCAAACUUGACGUGUAGAUGGGCUGAGAACCAGUAAGAGGGUUGGAAAUGGUUCAUUAGUCUUAAGAGGGGCGGUGAACCAAGUGUGUUCUUUUCAAUCUUCGCGCGGAAGGGCUUGCGUUUGAGCAAUGCGUUCUUGUUACCAUGAUGCGCUAUUGUGGUGGGCCAGUCGUGAGAUAAGAAGAUGGUGCUAGGACUUGGUGUUAACUGGGAUUGGGUUAGCAAUGGGAUACCUGGCGACGAAGUGACUUACAUGCAUGAGCUUUUCCACAUCGUACUCGCGUAUAUGG